rnacentral:rRNA from 1 species
UACGGGGGGAGCAAACGUUGUUCGGAAUCACUGGGCGUAAAGGGCGUGUAGGCGGUUCGGUAAGUGGAAUGUGAAAUCCCCCGGCUUACCCGGGGAACUGCAUCCCAUACUGCUGGACUUGAGUGCGGGAGAGGAUGGAGGAAUUCCUGGUGUAGCGGUGAAAUGCGUAGAUAUUAGGAAGAACACCAGUGGCGAAGGCGGCCAACUGGCCCGAUACUGACGCUCAUGUGCGAAAGCGUGGGGAGCAAACAGG